rnacentral:tRNA from 1 species
GCACCCAUCGUCUAGCGGUUAGGACGCUGCCCUUUCAAGGCGGAAACACGGGUUCGAUCCCCGUUGGGUGUACCA